AGAGUUUGAUCCUGGCUCAGAACGAACGCUGGCGGCGCGUCUUAAGCAUGCAAGUCGGGCGGGAUCCAUGCGCUUGCGCAUGGUGAGAGCGGCGGACUGGCGAGUAACACGUGGGCGACGCGCCCUCCGGACGGGAAUAGCCUGUAGAAAUACAGGGUAAUGCCGGAUGCGAACGCGCGCGCUGGAGGCGCGCGUGGAAAGCCCCCACGGGGGCGCCGGAGGAGCGGCCCGCGGCCCAUCAGCUUGUAGGCGGUGCAAGGGACCACCUAGGCUACGACGGGUACCCGGCCUCAGAGGGCGGACAGGCGCAUUGGGACUGAGAUACGGCCCAGACUCCUACGGGAGGCAGCAGCUAAGAAUAUUCCGCAAUGGGGGGAACCCUGACGGAGCGACGCCGCGUGGGCGAGGAAGGCCGGAAGGUUGUAAAGCCCUUUUGCGCGCGAGGAAUAAGGGGAGGAGGGAAUGCCUUCCCGGUGACUGUAGCGCGCGAAUAAGCGCCGGCUAAUUACGUGCCAGCAGCCGCGGUAACACGUAAGGCGCGAGCGUUGUUCGGAAUCAUUGGGCGUAAAGGGCGUGUAGGCGGCCCUGCAAGCCUGGCGUGAAAUCCCGGGGCUCAACCCCGGAACCGCGCUGGGAACUGCUGGGCUGGAGCCGCUGCGGCGCAGCCGGAAUUCCAGGUGUAGGGGUGAAAUCUGUAGAUAUCUGGAAGAACACCGAUGGCGAAGGCAGGCUGCGAGCGGACGGCUGACGCUGAGGCGCGAAGGCGCGGGGAGCGAACAGGAUUAGAUACCCUGGUAGUCCGCGCAGUAAACG
rnacentral:rRNA from 1 species